ensembl:snRNA U1 U1 spliceosomal RNA
AUACUUACGUGGCAGAGAAGAUACAAUAAUCACGAAGGUGGUUCUCCCAGGGCGAAGCUUAUCCAUUGCACUCCAGAUGUGCUGACCCCUGCGAUUUCCCCAAAUGUGGGAAACUCAACUGCAUAAUUUGUAGUAGUGGGGGACUGCGUUUGCACUCUAA